UACGGGGGGGGCAAGCGUUGUUCGGAAUUACUGGGCGUAAAGGGCUCGUAGGCGGCCAACUAAGUCAGACGUGAAAUCCCUCGGCUUAACCGGGGAACUGCGUCUGAUACUGGAUGGCUUGAAUCCGGGAGAGGGAUGCGGAAUUCCAGGUGUAGCGGUGAAAUGCGUAGAUAUCUGGAGGAACACCGGUGGCGAAGGCGGCAGCCUGGACCGGCAUUGACGCUGAGGAGCGAAAGCCAGGGGAGCAAACGGG
rnacentral:rRNA from 1 species